CUGGGCUCAGACCGUGCUCCCACCUCACUCAGACUCUCCAGUAGCUGGGACUACAGGUGUGCACCAGCAUACCCAGCUAAUUUUAUUAUUUUUAUUUUUUGUAGAGACAGAAUCUUACUGUGUUGCCAGGCUGGCCUAGAACUCCUGGGCUCAAGCAGUUCUCCAGCCUUGACCUCCAAAAUGUUGGGAUUACAGGUGUGAGCCAUGGCGCCCAAAUGACAACAGGAUAUUUAAGCACUGUCUCUGUCAUUUGCUGGGUACUAUAGUAGGGACUGGAAAUUCAACGUGAAAAAAAGUUAAAUCUCUGCUGCCUUAAAAUUUCUGGAGGCUGGAAUGUCCAAAAGCAAGGUGCCAGAAGAUUCAGUGUCUGAAAAGGGCCCUCUUCCUGGUUUACAGAUGAUAGUCUUUUCAAGAUGUCCUCACAAGAAGAAAGAAAGAAUCAGAAUGUAAGGAGAAAAUGUUUUCAGCUGGAACUUAAAUAGACCGGCCACAAAUAACCCGUAAUUCUCUAUAAAUGGACUGUCAUGCUGAGAACAGCUUUAUGCCACGCUGAUCCUAGCUCCACAAGAGCCGGCUAAGCUACACUUACCCAGUAGCAGGUCACACUCCAGAGCCCACUGGAUUCUUGCUGACACAAUAAGUACGCUUCCAGCUGGGGCCAAGAACAAUCUGGACUCAGGCAGAGUGUGAAUUACAGUGAAGAGCUACCACCCUCCUAACCACAGCCAAUCAACAGAAAAUAAACACAGACACUGAAGAGUCCAGACACAUGGAAAGCCCUUUUCAUUAAGAGAAAUGACUUGAAAAGAAAACCAGACAUAUGUCUAAGGAUGUUUUUCAUGAUCUCAUCGAAGCCACUCCAAUGAGGAAAGAAACAGAGAAUGCUGGUCCUUUUUCAUCCAGCAUGAGCAAUAUGAACUUGAAUAAAGGUAAUGUGCCAAGGAUUCAAAUAAACACACUUUCUUGUAUCUGCCCUACAAAUGCAAAGUUCUCUCCAGGCUUUGAACUUAAUCCAGCAGUAGGCAGG
rnacentral:lncRNA from 10 species